GGACUACCCGGGUAUCUAAUCCUGUUUGCUCCCCACGCUUUCGCGCCUCAGCGUCAGUACCGGACCAGGUCGCCGCCUUCGCCACCGGUGUUCUUCCCAAUAUCUACGAAUUUCACCUCUACACUGGGAAUUCCACGACCCUCUUCCGAACUCAAGUCCGCACGUAUCAAACGCAGCCCCCAGGUUGAGCCCAGGAAUUUCACGUCUGACUAUGCAAACCGCCUACGCGCCCUUUACGCCCAGUCAUUCCGAGCAACGCUAGCCCCCUUCGUAUUACCGCGGCUGCUGGCAC
rnacentral:rRNA from 1 species